AUUGAACGCUGGCGGCAGGCCUAACACAUGCAAGUCGAACGGUAACAGGAAGAAGCUUGCUUCUUUGCUGACGAGUGGCGGACGGGUGAGUAAUGUCUGGGAAACUGCCUGAUGGAGGGGGAUAACUACUGGAAACGGUAGCUAAUACCGCAUAACGUCGCAAGACCAAAGAGGGGGACCUUCGGGCCUCUUGCCAUCGGCUGUGCCCAGAUGGGAUUAGCUAGUAGGGGGGGUAACGGCUCACCUAGGCGACGAUCCCUAGCUGGUCUGAGAGGAUGACCAGCCACCCUGAAACGGGGACACGGUCCGGACUCCUACGGGAGGCAGCAGUGGGGAAUAUUGCACAAUGGGCGCAAGCCUGAUGCAGCCAUGCCGCGUGUAUGAAGAAGGCCUUCGGGUUGUAAAGUACUUUCAGCGGGGAGAAAGGGAGUAAAGUUAAUACCUUUGCUCAUUGACGUAACCCGCAGAAGAAGCACCGGCAAACUCCGU
rnacentral:rRNA from 1 species